CCGGGCGUAGUGCAUGGGGCACAGCGAGUAUUCUUAUGAGAUUAUUGAUGCUGAACACGCAGUCCGGGGUUCGAUUCCCCGCGUCCGAA